rnacentral:lncRNA from 1 species
GAUUAUAUAAUUAUUCACAUUAAUAUUGGAGACAUGAGACUUUAGGAGGUAGGAGGUAGAUGCACUCUAGUAGCAGUAAAUGACUUUCAUGGAUCCAUGUGUAUUUCCUGAAGAGGAAGAAAGGAAAGAAGAAAUUCCAUGUAGUGGGGACCAAAUUGCUCAGGAGCAGACACUGAAGGAGAUUACCAACAGCAUGCCUAUUAGCAGUGUGUGCUUGGGUAACACAAAGUAUCAACCACUUUUUCUGCAUUCUUUAUUGACCCUUACAAACAAUGGAAGUACAGAAGAGUAGAUGACUACAAAUUUGCUCAACAGAAAGAUGAGAAUUCAAGUAACAUUUAGUCUUCCGUCUGCUAUUAUGUGAUUUGUGGCCAGACCCUGUAAACAAAAGAAGCUAAACCAGAAGUCUCUUAUAAGUGCUGCAGUAACAGUAAAUGAAUCAAAAAAUAGUGAUCUAGCCCUGGCUCUAAUGUAAUAUGACAUACGUUGAGGAUUAUGAGGUUAAAACACAACUUAAUCAUUGAGGGAAAUUGUCUACAUAUUGCAAGCUUAUAUGUGUGUUUUUUUUUCAUUCACAUACAGUAUACUCCUAUAUAGUUCAUAUUUCUAAUAGUAUCUCAAUAUGUGCUGAUCAUUGAGGUUAAAUUGUCUACAUAUUGCAAGCUUAUAUGUGUGUUUUUUUUUCAUUCACAUACAGUAUACUCCUAUAUAGUUCAUAUUUCUAAUAGUAUCUCAAUAUGUGCUGAUCAGGUAGGCUACGGUCUCCCCAUAAGC